AGCAGCUAAUAAAAGUAGCAAAGGAUUGCUUUGAAGUAUCACUGCCAUUAUUUGGCUUCACCUUGCUUGGCUCUGGAGUCAGUGAUCAGGGCCCAGGGAUGGAUUUAGUGACAGUGAGCAUUACAGAGCUGCAUGUGAGCUGGAGUUUCUGACUCUUUACAAGUAAAGGACAGGAUAUUUUUCCCCAUCAUGUGCUCUCCCGUCCUUGAGGGCCCGCCAGCUAAGGCAAAGGUCCAAAAACCAAGAUGUUCACACUUCAGCUCCGAUUAAAUCAAAACUUCAACAAUGACCAGAUGCAAAUUUCAAAACCCAGUACUUGAUGCCUCUGCAAAAAGCCCUUGAAGAUGAAAAAGCUGCUGUCUAGUAAGGGUUUUUAAGUACAUGACUCACAGAAAGGCCAACAUUGUUUCAUUUCUGAAAAGUAAACCUCAUAUACUGUAAGUUGACAAUUGUUUGAAUUUUGGAGAUUGUUGUAUUGUAAUUGUUGUA